UACGUAGGGUCCGAGCGUUUGUCCGGAAUUACUGGGCGUAAAGAGCUCGUAGGUGGUUUGUCGCGUUGUUCGUGAAAACUCACAGCUCAACUGUGGGCGUGCGGGCGAUACGGGCAGACUAGAGUUCGGUAGGGGAGUCUGGAAUUCCCGGUGUAGCGGUGGAAUGCGUAGAGAUCGGGAAGAAUACCCGUGGCGAAGGCGGGUCUCUGGGCAGUAACUGACGCUGAGGAGCGAAAGCGUGGGGAGCGAACAGG
rnacentral:rRNA from 1 species